AGUGGGAAAGGAUGUGGAGUUGCGUAGACAACCAGGAGGUUGGCUUGGAAGCAGCCAUCCUUGAAAGAGUGCGUAAUAGCUCACUGGUCAAGUGAUUCCGCGCCGAUAAUGUAGCGGGGCUUAAGUUAUCCGCCGAAGCUGUGGCAACCUGUGUGGUUGGGUAGGGGAGCGUCGUGUCAGUGGUGAAGCUGCCGGGUGACUGUGUGGUGGAGUUGAUGCGAGUGAGAAUGCAGGCAUGAGUAGCGUGUGACGGGUGGGAAUCCCGUCCGCCGAUUAUCCAAGGGUUCCAGGGUCAAGUUUGUCUGCCCUGGGUGAGUCGGGUCCUAAGGCGAGGCCGACAGGCGUAGUCGAUGGGUAACCAGUUGAUAUUCUGGUACCGGCUUGUCACCGUCCGUGUCGAGGUGUGUGAUGCUAAGCAUGUGAGCUUGUCUUGGGAGUGUUUUUGAUGCUUCUGGGGUGGGUGAGUGUGUGAACCGAUCAUGUAGUAGGCAAGCUGCGGAGGGACGCAGUGAGGUAGCUCAUCCCCGGUGAUGGUUGUCCGGGGCUA
rnacentral:ncRNA from 1 species